AGAGUUUGAUCCUGGCUCAGGAUGAACGCUGGCGGCGUGCUUAACACAUGCAAGUCGAACGAACUGCGAGGAGCUUGCUCCUCAAAGUUAGUGGCGGACGGGUGAGUAACGCGUGGGUAACCUGCCCUAUAGAGGGGGAUAACGUUUGGAAACGAACGCUAAUACCGCAUAAACUAUCGGUAGUCGCAUGACUAUUAUAGUAAAGAUUUAUCGCUAUAGGAUGGACCCGCGUUGGAUUAGCUAGUUGGUGAGAUAACAGCUCACCAAGGCGACGAUCCAUAGCCGGCCUGAGAGGGUGAACGGCCACAUUGGGACUGAGACACGGCCCAAACUCCUACGGGAGGCAGCAGUGGGGAAUAUUGCACAAUGGGCGCAAGCCUGAUGCAGCGACGCCGCGUGAAGGAAGAAGGUCUUCGGAUUGUAAACUUCUAUCAGCAGGGAAGAAAAAAAUGACGGUACCUGACUAAGAAGCUCCGGCUAACUACGUGCCAGCAGCCGCGGUAAUACGUAGGGAGCGAGCGUUAUCCGGAUUUACUGGGUGUAAAGGGUGCGUAGGCGGUUUGUUAAGUCAGAAGUGAAAUUUAGGGGCUCAACCUCUAAGCUGCUUCUGAAACUGAUGAACUAGAGUGUGGGAGAGGAAAGUGGAAUUCCGAGUGUAGCGGUGAAAUGCGUAGAGAUUCGGAGGAACACCAGUAGCGAAGGCGGCUUUCUGGACCAUAACUGACGCUGAGGCACGAAAGCGUGGGGAGCAAACAGGAUUAGAUACCCUGGUAGUCCACGCUGUAAACGAUGAAUGCUAGGUGUCGGGGCUUACGGGUCUCGGUGCCGAAGUUAACACAUUAAGCACUCCACCUGGGAAGUACGAUCGCAAGAUUGAAACUCAAAGGAAUUGACGG
rnacentral:rRNA from 1 species